GACACUGCAACCGAAUGAAAGCAGACCACUAUUUAGUGACAUUUGGACGUUUCCCUGAGGAUUAACUGCUGUGUAAUCUACCAAGAACUAAAUCAAAAUGAGUGCAAGUGGAGACGGACCACAAAAUAACCAAAACGGCCAACAGGUUAACCCACAAAUGUUGGCA